AGAUGAUUAUUGUCUAACCAAUCCUGAAAAGGAAGGAAAAGUUUAUGUGGUAUCCAGAAAACGUUUCUACAAGGUACAGCCACGCUCUACAAGGCACUGUACUGAACCCUAUGAAACGUAAUAGAAGACCUGACCUCUGCUCUCGGACACUGAUGGAGAGAAAUGGACAAAGACAAAAAGGCUGUUACACUGACUUCCUGUGGAUAUUUAAAAUGCUAAAGUAUGAGGAAACACACAUUCACCUGAAGUAUGAAGCAACCCUUCAGGAAAACCUUUCAGAACUUCAUCUUCAUCAUAACUCCCAGGAAGUGUCAAGUCAUUUGUCAUGUAUAAUUAAUAUUUCCAUUUCUUUCCUCCUUAUGCAUAGACAUUGCAAAAUAAGUCAUGGAGUUUUGUAACAAAUAAUACUGUUUUCAACACUUUGUUUCCAUGUCUUGACAGAUGUGGGAUUUAGUUAGUCAAGUCUGAAAAUUUAUACAUUCUGCUUAGUUGUGUCCUCAGAUGUGAGUGUAUUUUAGAAUAAAAACCUUCAUUUUAAAAUAUUAAAAAAGACACACUUAGAUCACAAAGUAACUAUCACUUCACACUUUCAUUUCAAUAUGAUAAAAUGAUUUAUCAGAAGUAUUAUGGUAAUUGAGUAAAGUGCAAUAG